rnacentral:rRNA from 1 species
AGUGAACGCUGGCGGUAGGCCUAACACAUGCAAGUCGAACGGCAGCACAGUAAGAGCUUGCUCUUACGGGUGGCGAGUGGCGGACGGGCGAGGAAUACAUCGGAAUCUACUUUUUCGUGGGGGAUAACGUAGGGAAACUUACGCUAAUACCGCAUACGACCUACGGGUGAAAGCAGGGGAUCCUCGGACCUUGCGCGAUUGAAUGAGCCAAUGUCGGAUUAGCUAGUUGGCGGGGUAAAGGCCCACCAAGGCGACGAUCCGUAGCUGGUCUGAGAGGAUGAUCAGCCACACUGGAACUGAGACACGGUCCAGACUCCUACGGGAGGCAGCAGUGGGGAAUAUUGGACAAUGGGCGCAAGCCUGAUCCAGCCAUACCGCGUGGGUGAAGAAGGCCUUCGGGUUGUAAAGCCCUUUUGUUGGGAAAGAAAAGCAGCAGGUUAAUACCCCGCUGUUCUGACGGUACCCAAAGAAUAAGCACCGGCUAACUUCGUG